rnacentral:rRNA from 1 species
GAUGAACGCUAGCGGCAGGCUUAACACAUGCAAGUCGAGGGGCAGCAUAAACAUUGCUUGCAAUGUUUGAUGGCGACCGGCGCACGGGUGCGUAACGCGUAUGUAACCUACCUCAAACAGGGGCAUAACACUGAGAAAUUGGUACUAAUUCCCCAUAACACUCAUUAAGGCAUCUUUUUGAGUUGAAAGUUCCGGCGGUUUGAGAUGGACAUGCGUUGUAUUAGCUAGUUGGUGAGGUAACGGACUACCAAGGCGAUGAUACAUAGCCGACCUGAGAGGGUGAUCGGCCACACUGGGACUGAGACACGGCCCAG